rnacentral:lncRNA from 1 species
UUCUUCUUGAAAUUUCGGUGGGAGACAGCCAUGGAAGAGGGUUUGGAGCUGGUAUUCCAUAUUUUGGCUUCACGUAAGUUUAAUUCUUGCUUUGUCCUUGAAAUUUUUAUAUUUUUAGAUUUUUACAAUUAGGUCCAACUUAGUAUUCUACUAGUUUCUCAUUUUGCUGAAAGUUUUGGAAGAUACUAAUGAUAAGUUCAUAUGAUUGUUGUUAUUUUUGAUGAAAUUGAUAUGUUAAUGGAUGUUUAAAGGUGUUUUAUUAAAGAAUUUUAGAUGAAAACAUGUUUUAGGGAUUAAAUUGAAAAGUAUUGAAAUCAUGGAUAAAUUCUAAAAUUUCAUGGAAUCUAUGGGCUGUUAUUGAUAUGUAUGAGAAAUACUAGGCUUGAAUUAAGGAUUAUAUUGCAAGAAUUUCAUUUUCCAAGCCUAGGGACGAAAUUAUCAUGUAUUAAAAGUUUAGAGUCAAAUUGGUAAUCAAUAUAUUACACUAAACAGUUUUGGGCAGCAGCAGUGGUCUGACUUUGAAAAAUCACCAAAAAUUGUGGGAAUUAAAUUAGAGGGUGAAUAAAAUAUGAAAUUAAAGCUUAUUAAGUCUAGUUUCUCAUAGAAGAAACGGUGUAAGUAAUGAAAUUGUAAAUCAUGAGAUAUAAUAGAUUUUGUGAGACAAGGUCAGAAUGAAUUCGGGUUCCCCUGUUCUGAAUUUGGAAAAUCAUUAAAAAUUGUAAAAAAAUGAUUAUGAGUUAUAAUUUAUAUGGUUAGAAUCCUUAAUGAGUCUAUUUUUAUAAGAAACAAACUAAAACAUCAUCCAAAUUCUGUACAAUGAGAUAAUUAAUUUUUAGUGAAGAGUGGUCGGAACUGUCAGACAGCAAAACAGGGGAAACUUUAAAGAAUAAACUGUACUAUUUGGCUGAACCAAAAAUUCUGAAAAUUUUAUGGUAAGAAGGUAUGUGAGUCUAGUUUUAGGUAAAAUUAACGGAUCUUAAUUUGGAGCUCUGUAUCUCCGGAUAAAAAUAAUUUAGUGACUCUGACUCGGAUAAACAGCUUUGAAUAUACAUGUGAGUGAAUAGUAAAAUUAUAGCUAAUGUUGUUUAAGUGUGUUAUACACAUUAAGGAUGUGGAAUGGAGAGGAGGAGGAGGAAAAUUGGGAAGUAUAUGAAUGAUUUGUGUAUAAUUGGUCAUAUGCUUGAUUAUAAUUGAUAAACGAUGAAAUAGAAAUAAUGCUUAUAUUUGUGCAUUAUUGGUUUUGGUUUAAGCUCAUGUGUGAAAAUAAAGUUUCAUAGUAUGUGUGUAUCGUAUAUUCGGUAUAUGAUUUGGCAUGAAAUAAUUUCAUGAAUGGUUUAUCAUGUGGUUAGUUCCAAAAAAGAGUUAUGUUUAAAUAUACUAGCUUGUGACUAUGGUUGAAUGCUAUGUUUAUAUCUUGUGUGAUGUGUAUAGGAAACAAGUGUGGUAAGAUAAUGAAAUAGUAAGUUCAUAUGACUGAAAUUUAAUGAUUAAAUGUUAAUUUCAUGAAUUAUAUAAUGUAUGAUGAAAUGUAUUUAGUGUUGAAAAGAGAGUAAAAUAAAAAUGCGGAAAUUGAAUAAAUGAUCAAAUUGAGCGGAACGCCGGAUUUGAGUACUUCUGAUCAAGUGACAAAGUGAUAGGUGAUAGCUUCGGCUNNNNNNNNNNNNNNNNNNNNNNNNNNNNNNNNNNNNNNNNNNNNNNNNNNNNNNNNNNNNNNNNNNNNNNNNNNNNNNNNNNNNNNNNNNNNNNNNNNNNCAAGUGACAAGUGGAAAGUGAUAAGUGAUAGCUUCGGCUACACUUAUCUGAUCAAGUAACAAGUGGAAAGUGAUAAGUGAUAGCUUCGGCUAUACUUAUCUGAUCAAGAGACAAAGUGAUAAGUGAUAGCUUCGGCUACACUUAUCUGAUCAAGUGACAAGUGAAAAGUGAUAAGUGAUAGCUUUAGCUACACUUAUCUGAUCAAGAGACAAAGUGAUAAGUGGCUACACCUAUCUGAUCAAGAAACAAAGUGAUAAGUGGCUACACUUAUCUGAUCAGGGACAAGUGAUAAGUGAUCAUACGUAAGACCAUAGUUAUACUAUGGCAAAGUGAAAGUGAAGUACUCAAUUUUCCAUAACCGUUCCCUAAUUUGAUUAAGGAUGGUAAGUGACAAAUGGGCCCAAAUGAAUUAAAGUAAAUGAAUAAGUGGUAGUGUAUUUAUACCAGGAUGAUGUUGUUAUUUAAGCUAAAGUGAUAUUUUCAUUGCAAAAUUAAGAAUUUCAUAAAUGUGUUAUUGAAUGAUAUAAUCGAUAAACGUUGAGUUAAAUGGUAAAUACGUAUUAGUGUUAAACUUAGUGACAUUGAAUUGUACGUGAAUUAAAUGGAAAUUGCUAGUGAUAUGAUCUAAAUUGUGAGCAUGAGAAAUUGCGAAUUAAAUGAAAUGGAAAUGAAGCAUUGAAUUGUAUGAGUAUGUACCGGGUCUCGUAGGCCCUAAUUAUUAUGAUUAUAAUAUUUUGAGGAUAUAUUGUGAAAAGUUAUAGAAGCAUUCUAAUUAUUUUGAAAGUUUUAAUUUAGUUGAAAUUUUUAUAACUCACUUAAAUACGUUUACAAGCGUAUGUGUUUUGGUAAUGCCUCGUACCCUAUUCCGGUGUUGGAUACGGGUAAGGGGUGUUACAUUUAGUGGUAUCAGAGCUACGAUUUAGUCGGUUCUCGGACCGAACGUAGCAUAUGUGAAGUUUGGAAAUACAUGCCAUUAUAUAACUUGUGAUAGUGUGAUAUCUCUCGACUCUGGUGAGAUUUGUUUUAUUCAUAAACAUGAAUGCUUUCUCAACUGAGCUAAUUUCGAUAAUGUUGAAAAUGAUACUCAAGUAUAUGAAUAAGAAAAGAGAAAAAAAAAGAACUAAAAAGUCAAAUUGAGUAGAACACAGGAAUGAGUACUUUCGUUCAGUGAUAUGUGAUGAAUUGACCGAAAAUACCAUGGUUUGACCAUGGCAACAUGUGAACAUGUGAUUAUGUGAUUCCGUGUAAGACCAUACCUGGGCUAUGGCAUCGGUAUGUGAUUUGUGAUUACGUGUAAGACCAUAGUUGGACUAUGGCAUCGAGAAAACGAAGUACUCAAUUCCGUAAGACGUUCUCUAAUUUGACAAAUUAUGGUAAGUGUUAAGUAAAUUUUAUGUGAUAAAACAUAUUGAACAGUGAAAUUGAGCUCAAUUAUGUGAUCUCACCAUUCAGAGAUUAUGUUUGUCAGGUUAUGUUAAUAUGUGUAUGUGAAUGUAAGUGACAGAAAUUAAACAGAUAAUGAUAUUGAGCUCAUUUACAUGAAUCUGCCAUUUGAAAUUGUGAUUGACAAAAAGAAGUAAUGAUUUGCAUGCUUAUUUCUGGUUAUCUGUAUUUAUUUGAAAUACAAGAAAAUGAUGAUUAUUGAUAUGGCUAUAAAGUGAACAAAUAGUGAAGUUAAAAAAUCAAAUGGGUGAGAAAUAAAGCUUGGAAAAUAGCGUGAUUUUUUUUCUAUACUGGUAGACACAUGGGCGUGUGACCCCUAUAUAUGAGAAAAUAUAUGAAUGAACUAGGUGGUUACGAUGGUAUUACAUUGAUGAUGAAUGUUAAGUCUUAUAUAUAUUCUUUUAUCCUCAGAGUUAUGUGUAUAAUUAUUCAGUUUCUAAUGGAGUUCUUAUGUUAUGAGAAUGUUAGCUAAUUAUGAUGUCAGACAAAAGCCCUAUUAGACUGACUGGUUUGUGAUCGUUAUUGUUCUAUUUUGCAUGCGUAUUUAGAAAGUGUAUUAUUUUGUUACGAUGAAAUUCCAGAGCUAAAAUGUGGUGACUCUAGUGAUUUGCAUGCUAAAAGAAUAUUGAAAGAUUGUGUGUUUGAGUUGCAUUCUCAACAUGAAGAAAAGAGUACUUUGAUAUGUUAAUGUUCGAUAGUUGAAAUCAACUCAAUUGUUUUAUUAGAGUGAACUGAUUUAUCGAUAUGAGAUUUGAGUUGUAUGUAUUUAAGCAUGUCUAUUCAUGAGUAUGAAGACAGAUAGUCGGAAAAAAAAAUCUAUAUUUCAGAAAGUAUGAUAUAAAGAUAUAUUUAUUGAAAAGAGAUAUACGAGAUUAAAUUGAUAAGUGAUUCUGGAAAGUUAGUGAAAGUGUUUCAUGAGAGUUGGAAAUAACUUGUUUUGGUAAGAUUUUCGAGGACGAAAAUCCCUAAAGGGGGGAGAGUUGUAAUAGCCCGAUUUUCAAAAAUGUCGAAAACAGUGGUACGAGAUCACCAAAUUCAGAAAAUAAGCUCGUAAAUUUUAUUAUCAAUAAUUACGAGCCAAAUAUGAUUUUUAAGAGAUUUUUAAAUUAGUAAUUUGUAUUUUAUAAAAAUUUAUUAAGUCAAGAAAUUGAGAAAAAGAGGUAUCGAGACUUCGAUAUUAUAAACCGAGCCGUAAAUAUUUUUAUAAAUAUUUACGGAGUGUCAAUAUGGUAGUGUUAAAGUUUCGUCAGAAAAUUUUAAUGUUUUGGCAGUUAAUUAAUUAAAAAGGACUAAAUUGAAAAGAUGCAAAACUUGCUAAAGUGAUUAAAUAGCUUAACAAUUAAAUAAGGAAGGACUAAAAGAGAAAAUGGACCAAUUUAGGGGCUGAGAUGACAUACCGUUAAAAAAAAUCUAAGAUUUUUAUGUAUUAAGGACAAAAUUGGAAUUACAAUAAAGUUUAUGUGGCCAAAUUUUAUUUUAAGCAUUUCAAGACCAUUUCUUCUUGAAAUUUCGGUGGGAGACAGCCAUGGAAGAGGGUUUGGAGCUGGUAUUCCAUAUUUUGGCUUCACGUAAGUUUAAUUCUUGCUUUGUCCUUGAAAUUUUUAUAUUUUUAGAUUUUUACAAUUAGGUCCAACUUAGUAUUCUACUAGUUUCUCAUUUUGUUGAAAGUUUUGGAAGAUACUAAUGAUAAGUUCAUAUGAUUGUUGUUAUUUUUGAUGAAAUUGAUAUGUUAAUGGAUGUUUAAAGGUGUUUUAUUAAAGAAUUUUAGAUGAAAACAUGUUUUAGGGAUUAAAUUGAAAAGUAUUGAAAUCAUGGAUAAAUUCUAAAAUUUCAUGGAAUCUAUGGGCUGUUAUUGAUAUGUAUGAGAAAUACUAGGCUUGAAUUAAGGAUUAUAUUGCAAGAAUUUCAUUUUCCAAGCCUAGGGACGAAAUUAUCAUGUAUUAAAAGUUUAGAGUCAAAUUGGUAAUCAAUAUAUUACACUAAACAGUUUUGGGCAGCAGCAGUGGUCUGACUUUGAAAAAUCACCAAAAAUUGUGGGAAUUGAAUUAGAGGGUGAAUAAAAUAUGAAAUUAAAGCUUAUUAAGUCUAGUUUCUCAUAGAAGAAACGGUGUAAGUAAUGAAAUUGUAAAUCAUGAGAUAUAAUAGAUUUUGUGAGACAAGGUCAGAAUGAAUUCGGGUUCCCCUGUUCUGAAUUUGGAAAAUCAUUAAAAAUUGUAAAAAAAUGAUUAUGAGUUAUAAUUUAUAUGGUUAGAAUCCUUAAUGAGUCUAUUUUUAUAAGAAACAAACUAAAACAUCAUCCAAAUUCUGUACAAUGAGAUAAUUAAUUUUUAGUGAAGAGUGGUCGGAACUGUCAGACAGCAAAACAGGGGAAACUUUAAAGAAUAAACUGUACUAUUUGGCUGAACCAAAAAUUCUGAAAAUUUUAUGGUAAGAAGGUAUGUGAGUCUAGUUUUAGGUAAAAUUAACGGAUCUUAAUUUGGAGCUCUGUAUCUCCGGAUAAAAAUAAUUUAGUGACUCUGACUCGGAUAAACAACUUUGAAUAUACAUGUGAGUGAAUAGUAAAAUUAUAGCUAAUGUUGUUUAAGUGUGUUAUACACAUUAAGGAUGUGGAAUGGAGAGGAGGAGGAGGAAAAUUGGGAAGUAUAUGAAUGAUUUGUGUAUAAUUGGUCAUAUGCUUGAUUAUAAUUGAUAAACGAUGAAAUAGAAAUAAUGCUUAUAUUUGUGCAUUAUUGGUUUUGGUUUAAGCUCAUGUGUGAAAAUAAAGUUUCAUAGUAUGU